GACGAACGCUGGCGGCGUGCCUAAUACAUGCAAGUAGAACGCUGAAGGAGGAGCUUGCUUCUCUGGAUGAGUUGCGAACGGGUGAGUAACGCGUAGGUAACCUGCCUGGUAGCGGGGGAUAACUAUUGGAAACGAUAGCUAAUACCGCAUAAUAGUAGAUGUUGCAUGACAUUUGCUUAAAAGGUGCAAUUGCAUCACUACCAGAUGGACCUGCGUUGUAUUAGCUAGUUGGUGGGGUAACGGCUCACCAAGGCGACGAUACAUAGCCGACCUGAGAGGGGGGUCGGCCACACUGGGACGGUGACACGGCCCAGACUCCUACGGGAGGCCGCAGUAGGGAAUCUUCGGCAAUGGGCGGAAGUCUGACCGAGCAACGCCGCGUGAGUGAAGAAGGUUUUCGGGUCGUAAAGCUCUGUUGUAAGAGAAGAACGAGUGUGAGAGUGGAAAGUUCACACUGUGACGGUAUCUGACCAGAAAGGGACGGCUAACUACGUG
rnacentral:rRNA from 1 species